UAUGCACUCUUUCCGUCCAAAAAUACUUGUCAUCAAAAUAGAUAAAAAUGAUGUAUCUAGAUGUAUUUUAGUUUUAGUAGUUUUAGAUACAUCUAUUUUUAUCGGUUUUUAUGACAUGUAUCGAACGGAGGGAGUAUAUA
rnacentral:pre_miRNA from 1 species